rnacentral:tRNA from 1 species
GCCCGGGUCGCCUAGCCAGGAUAAGGCGCUGGAUUGCGGAUCCAGAGAUCAGGGGUUCAAAUCCCCUCCCGGGCG